rnacentral:rRNA from 1 species
UAUGACGGGUAUCCGGCCUGAGAGGGUGAUCGGACACACUGGAACUGAGACACGGUCCAGAUCCUACGGGAGGCAGCAUAGGGAAUAUUGCUCANGGGCGAAAGCCUGAACACAACGCCGCGUGGAGGAUGAAGGUUUUAGGAUGUAAACUCCUUUUGUUAGAGAAGAUAUGACGGUAUCUAACGAAUAAGCACCGGCUAACUCCGUGCCAGCAGCCGCGGUAAUACGGAGGGUGCAAGCGUUACUCGGAAUCACUGGGCGUAAAGAUGCGUAGGCGGGAAGGUAAGUCAGAUGUGAAAUCCUGUAGCUUAACUACAGAACUGCAUUUGAAACUACUUUUCUAGAUGUGGGAGAGGUAGGUGGAAU